rnacentral:rRNA from 1 species
GACGAACGCUGGCGGCGUGCCUAACACAUGCAAGUCGAACGAGCAGGCGAGAGCUUUCUUUCUCAAACGAGUGGCGAACGGGUGAGUAACACGUGAGGAACCUGCCCCAAAAAGGGGGACAACAGUUGGAAACAACGGCUAAUACCGCAUAAGACCUCAGGACGCAUUGGACUGGAUGGAAAAGGAGCCGUCGGCUGUAAGAUGGAGAUGCUUCCGAUUAGCUUGUUGGGGUGGGAACGGCCCACCAAUGCAAAGAUAGCUAGCCGGACGGGGAGGCUGAACCGCCACACUUGCACUAGGCCACAGUCCAGACUCCUACGCGAAGCAGCAGUGGGGAACAUUGCACAAUGGGGGAAGUCCUGAUGCAGCGACGACCGGUAGAGUAAGAUGGUCUUCGGAUUGUAAUCUCCUGUUGUUGAGGAAGAUAAUGACGGUACUCAACAAGGAAGUGACGGCUAACUACGUG